CCUACGGGAGGCAGCAGUGGGGAAUAUUGCACAAUGGGCGAAAGCCUGAUGCAGCGACGCCGCGUGAGGGAUGACGGCCUUCGGGUUGUAAACCUCUUUCAGCAGGGAAGAAGCGAGAGUGACGGUACCUGCAGAAGAAGCGCCGGCUAACUACGUGCCAGCAGCCGCGGUAAUACGUAGGGCGCAAGCGUUGUCCGGAAUUAUUGGGCGUAAAGAGCUCGUAGGCGGCUUGUUGCGUCGGUUGUGAAAGCCCGGGGCUUAACCCCGGGUCUGCAGUCGAUACGGGCAGGCUAGAGUGUGGUAGGGGAGAUCGGAAUUCCUGGUGUAGCGGUGAAAUGCGCAGAUAUCAGGAGGAACACCGGUGGCGAAGGCGGAUCUCUGGGCCAUUACUGACGCUGAGGAGCGAAAGCGUGGGGAGCGAACAGGAUUAGAUACCCUGGUAGUCCACGCCGUAAACGUUGGGAACUAGGUGUUGGCGACAUUCCACGUCGUCGGUGCCGCAGCUACGACAUUAAGUUACCCGUCCCGUCGGGAGGUACGGCCGGCCGACGGACGUAAACUACAAGAAGUAGUAGACGCGAGAGACGCGACGACGACGACGACGGAGGAGGAG
rnacentral:rRNA from 1 species